AGACCAUCUCCCGGCGCGGGUGGAAUUCCCGCGAUCUGUCUCAUUCCCUGCGCCGCCGAGAAAAGUGAGAUCCCGCGAGACUCCCAGGAUGGAGUCUGGCUCUGUUGCCCAAGCUGGAGUGUGUUGGCACCAUCUUGGUUCACUGCAACUUCCACCUCCCAGGCUCAAGUGAUUCUCCUGCCUCAGCCUCAAGGGUAGCUGAGAUUACAGGCUGGAGUGCAGUGGCAUGAUCUCACCUCACUGAGAACCUCCACCUCCAGGGUUCAAGUGAUUCUGCUACCUCAACCUCCCAAAUAGCUGGGACUACAGGGUCUCAUUCUGUCACCCAGGUUGGAGUGCAGUGGCAACAUCAUAGCUCACUGCAGCCUUGAACCCCUGGGCUCAAGUGAUCCUCCUGCUUCAGCCUCCUGAGUAGCUGGGGCUACAGGAUCUCACUCUGUUACCCAAGCUGGAGUGCAGUGGUUCAAUCUCAGCUCACAGCAGCCUUGACCUCCCAGGCUCAAGUAAUCCUCCCACCUCAGCCUCCUGAGUAGCUGGGACUACAGGUACAUACCACUACACGUCCUUCUGCAGGUGGUAAUGCAGAUCGGCGAUAAUCAGUCUACUCUGCUCUUUGUAGGCACUUUCCCUACAUUUUCAAAGGCCUGCAUCAUCACAUCUGCCGCAGCAUUCUCUAUCAUUGAGACAUUUUCUCAGGAAAUCACCUGUGAAAUAUUUUGCAGCUAACCACCUACCUGUGCCCCACCAGCCAACAUGCUUUACUCCUGCCAGGCAGGUUCUCUGUAGCCCUCUGGAUUCUGUCUGCCUCUGUUAUAUCUUCACGAACAAGUUACGCAGCCUCAACUAAAGCUUGUAACAGAGCAAAGUUACUCUCCUGAGUGUGUCCUCUGAUGGAUGGUGAGAUAUAACUUCAAGAUGAAGCCUCACCCACACUCCCUGUACAAAAACGCUUCUCACCUGUGUCACUCUGGAAGCUUUGAUCAGAAAAUUGUAGUUGCUGUUGCCUCUGAUGUGCAAGUCCAAGAUUCUUGGGCCGCAGGACAUGUUCUGCAUAUAUUCCUGGAGAAUAGACCAACAAUGAGACUGAAUCAGUAACGAAAAGUCUUCUAUGAAAGAAAAACCCAGAACCAGAUUGCUUUACUGCUUAAUUCUAAUAAACUCAUAAAGAACAACAAACACCAAUUCUUCUCAAACUAUUCCAAAAAAAUUGAAGCAGGGCAGGGAGGAAUUCUUCCUAACUCAUUCUAAAAGGCCAGCAUUAUCCUGAUACCAAAACCAGACAAGGACACAGCAAAAACAGAGAACUACAGGCCAAUAUCCCUGAUGAUGCUAAAUGGAAAAAUCCUCAACAAAAUACUAGCAAAACCAAUGCAACAACACAGAAAAGAUAAUACACCAUGAUCAAAUGAGAUUUAUCCCAAGUAUGCAAUCAUGAUUCAACAUACACAAAUCAAUACUUGUGAUACAUCACAUCAACAGAGUGAAGGACCAAAAGACAUAUGAUCAUCUCAACAGAUACAGAAAAAGAUUUGAUAUGAUUCAAAAUCCCAUUAUGAUAAAAACUUUUAUUUUUUUGAGACAGGGUCUCACUCUGUCACCCAGGCUGGAGUGCAGUGGCAUGAUCAUGGCUCACUGCAGCCUCGACCUCCCAGGCUUACACGAUCCUCCCACCUCAACUUUCUGAAUAGCUAGACUACAGGUGCCUGCCUGUAGUCAAGCCAUAGGUGCCAUUGCCUGGCUAAUUUUUGUAUUUUUUGUAGAGAUGGGAUUUCGCCAUGUUGUCCAGGCUGGUCUCAAAUUCUUGAGCUCAAGCAAUCUGCCCAUCUUGCCCUCCCAAAGUGAUGAGAUUAAAGGCAUAAGCCACCGCACCUGGCCUAUGAUAAAAACUUAAAUCAGGUGUACAGGAAACAUAUCUCAACAUAAUAUAGACAAUAUGUUCCAAACCCACAGCAAACAUCUUAGUGAAUGGGGAAAAGAUAAAAGUCUUUCCUCUAAGAACUGGAAGAAGAUUCGAAUGUCUACUUUCACCACUCUUAUUACCAUAGUUCACGGAGUCCUAGUCAGAACUAUGGUAAGAGAAAAAAAUAAGGCAAGAAAAGGAAAUAAAAGGCAUCCAAGCUGGAAAACUGAAGUCAAAUUGUCUCUUUUUGCAGAUGACAUGAUCGUACCUAUAGAAAACCUAAACACUCUUCGAACUGAUGAAUGAUGUCAAUAAAGUUGCACAAUAUGAAAUCAGAAAAAAAAAAUCAGUAGUGUUUCUAUAUGCCAAUAAUAACUAGGUGAAAAAGAAAUCAAGAAAGCAAUCCCAUUUAUAAUUGGGACAAAAAAGUAUAUGAAUAAACAACCCCAAAUUAAAUGUUCUCUAUGAUAAAAACAAUGAAAUAAAUAGACGAGGACACAAACAAAUGAAAAGACAUCUUAUGUUCAUGGAGCAAAAUAAUACUGUUGAGAUGACCAUACUGCCCAAAGCAAUCUACAGAUUCACUGCAAUACCUAUUAAAAUACCAGUGAUAUUCUUUAUAAAAAUAGACAAAAUACUCCUAGAAUUCAUAAGGAACCAAAAAGACCUCCAAUAGGCAAUAGUGAGCAUAAAGUACAAAGUGGGAGGCAUCAUACUACCUCACUUCAAAAUAUAAUACAAAACUAGUGUCAUCAAAACAGCAUGGUAUUGGUCUAAAAAUAGACACUGGCCAGGCACAGUGGCUCACACCUGUAAUCCCAGUGCUCUGAGAGACUGUGGCAGGCGGAUUGCUUGAGGCUAGGAGUUCGAGUCCAGCCUGGGCAACACGAUGAGACCCCAUCAUUACAAAAGGUUAAAAAAAAAAUUAGCUGGGCAUGGUGGCACAUGCCUAUAGUCCUAGCUACUUGAGACACGAGGAUCACUUAAGCCCAGGAGUUAGAGGCUGCAGUGAGCUAUGAUGGCACCACUGCACUCCUGCCUGGGUGGACAGAGCAAGACCCUGUCCAUAGAAACAAAAACAAAAAUGAAAUACACAUAGACCAAUAAAAGAGAAUAGAUAAUCUACAAAUAAAUCCAUAUAUUUACAGCCAACUGAUUUUUGAUAAAGGCACUAAAAACAUACCUUAGGGUAAGGACAGAAUCUUUAAUAAAUGGUAUUAGAAAAAGUGAAUUCCAAAAUGAGUAAGAAUGAAGUUAGAUGUUUGUUUCUCAUACUAUACAAAAAUAAACUCAAAAUAGAUUAAAGACUUAAACAUGAGUUCCACAAUUAUAAAACAACUUGAAGAAACACAGGAGAAAUGCUUUAGGACACUGGCCUAAACUAGCCAUAUUUUAUGGCUAAGACUUCAAAAUCACAAGCAACAAAAGCAAAAAUACACACAUGAGACUACAUUAAACUAAAAACUAAAAAGCUUCUGUACAGCAAAGGAAAGUAUCAACAGUGAAGAUACAAAAUGUAGAAUGGGAGGAAAUAUCUGCAAAGUAUUCAUCUUACAAGGGACUAAUAUACAGAAUAUACAAGAAGUCAAAAAACAGCAACAAAAAAUCCAACUAAAAAGUGGGAAAAGGAUCUGAAUAGACAUUUCUCAAAAUAAGACAUACAAAUGGGCAACAGGUAUAUGAAAAAAUGCUCAUCAUCACCAAUAAUCAGGGAAAUGCAAAUCACACUGAGAGAUCCUCUUACCACAAUCAGGAUGGCUAUUAUCAAAAAGAGAAAAAAUAACAAAUAAUGGCAAAGAUGCAGAAAAAAGGCAAUAAUUAUACGCUCUUGGUGUAUAAUUAGUACAGCCAUUAUGGAAAAUGGUAUGGAGGUUCCUUAAAAAACUACAAAUAGAACUACGAUACAAUCCAGCAAUCCCACUACUUCAUAUUUAUCCAAAGAAAAGGAAAUCAGUAUGGCAAAAGGAUACCUGUACCCCCAUGUUAACAUUAUUCACAAUAGUCUAGAUAUGGAAUUAACCUAAAUGUCCAUCAAUGGUUGAAUGGAUAAAGAAAAUGUAGUACAUAUAUAUAAUGGAAUGUUAGUCAACCAUAAAGAAGAAUAAGAAUACUGCUGUCAUUUACAGCAGUAUCAUUAGAAUCAUUAUCAUUAACUAAUGAUAUAAUCAGUAUCAUUAGUUCAUUAUGUUAGGUGAAAUAAGCCAGGCACAGAAAGCCAAAUAUUGCAUAUUGUCACUCAUAUGUGGGAGCAGAGGCUAGGAAAGGGAGAGGGAAGGGAGAACGAAGAGCAGUUGAUUAUGGGUACAAAAAUAUAGUUAGAUAGAAGAAAUAAAGUGUUUGAUAGCACAGUAGCGUGACUAUAGUUAACUGUAAUUUAUAUUUCAAAAUAGAAAAAAAUUGAGUAUACAGAGAAAUGAUAAAUAUUUGAGGUUAUGGAUCCUGAUUUGAUCAUUACAUAUGGUAUGCAUAUAUCAAAAUACCACAUCUACUCCAUAAAUAAUGUACAAUUAUUAUGUAUCAACAAAUAAGAAAAUAAUCCCCCCAAAACUAAUACAAAAUAGUAGGCAUCUACAAAGGGGAGAUAUUUAUAUAUAAAUGGAGAAUAAUAAAGAAUUAUCUUUUUUAAUACAUUAAAAUGAAUAUUCAUAUUAAGAAAGGAAAAACUAAAGUGAAAAGAGAAAUAGCAAACUGACAGAAAAUACUGCUGGUACUAUGACAGUCAAUGUGCUUAUUAUUCAGGAAAAAUACUCCAAAACUUGUCAGAUAUAUGAUUAUAUGACCUUUCCUACAUCAUCUGUAUAAUUUUUAAUUUUUCUGAUCACUUGGAUAAUGACAGUUAAGUUUGCUGAUUCUGUAAAGUUACAGGGUAACUUACAAUGGUGUUAUUUUGGCACUAUCCACAUACAUCCCACCUUCUCAUACCUGCACUGAACCAGCUUUGUCAUCCUGCCAGUAACCUCACUUAUGAGUUAAAUAAAAUCCUAACAUAUGCUCCCAUUACAAUAAACAUUCACACUUUCAGAAGUCAGUGGUAGACAAGAAGCCUUUUAUUUUAAUUCACUGACAGACAAAUCAGCAAGCAAUUGAUAUGGGGGCGAGAGAAGGGAGUUGAUAAUGGGCUGAACAUUAGCAUCCCCCCCAAAUUCAUAUGUUGAUGCCUUAACCCCCAAUGUGAUGGUAUUUGGAGGUGGAGUUGUUGGGAGAUAAACAGGUUUAGUUGAGAUCGUGGGGUGAGCCCAUGAGAGGACACAGCAAGGAGGCGGCAGCCUGUGAGCCAGGAUGGGGACCCUCACAAUGAAGCAAAGGUGCCAGCACCUUCAUCUUGGAAUUCCCAGAUUCUAGAACUGUACGAAAUAAAUGUCUGUUGUUUAAGCCUCCCAGUCUAUGAUAUUUCAUCAUUUCUACGAUACUCAAGAUGACAGAGGAGUCCCUUCCCACCUAUGUAAACUGAGGGAGUGGCCCCGAUCCAAAAGCAGAGACCUUAUGCGCGUGAAAACUCAGGCCAGCUCCAUAUUUCUCAGUGGAUGCCCCCACAUUUUUUAUGGGGUGGUGGGAAGCAAGGAAUGGGAAAGAACUCCACAGUCUGUAUGAACCUGCUUUUUUUGCAGACAAUAGGACAAAGUCAACAACAAUAACCAUAAAAAAAAUCAACCUGCUAAUUUUCUGAUAGAGAGUAUACUGUGUAAUUCCACUUACAUGAAGUUCUAAGAUGGGUGAAAUUAAGGCAUAUUGAACAAAAUCCGAAUAGUGAUUUUCUCUGGUGGACGUGGGGGCAGGAAAUGACUGGAAAAAGGCACAAAAGCACUUCUGGGGUGAGAGUAAUUCUUUUGUGUUGUCAUAGGGGUCCAGAUUACACAAAGUUAUGCAUAUGUCAAAGCUCACUAAAUGUUACACUUAAGAUUUAUGCAUCUUAUAUAAAUCCUAAAAAGAACCACAAAGAAACAUUAUAAUACUACUUAUUGAUAUGCAUGCUGAAGUGUUUAUGCAUAAAGGAUAAUGAUGUCCACAAUAUUAAAGAGCAUCAAAAGGAAGAUGGACUUAUGGAUGGAGAGAGCAAUGCACAGCUGGGUAAGUAAGCGAUAAAGAAUAUGGAGCACAAAGCUAAAUGCUGACUGUAGGUGGCAGAUCGACAGGUGUUCAUUCUAUAAGCCUUUCAACUUUUUAGUAUCCAUCAAAAUAUAAUUGUUCAACAUUUGCUUCACAAAAAAAUGCUGGAGGAAAGGAAGUAUUAUAGGAUGUAAACUCAAAAUAUAUAUGCCAUGAAAUAAGGAAAGUUAAAUGAGGGUUACAGUCACCAAAAAAAAUCUUAGGAACUAAUAUUAAUAUUAAACAAAAUAGAUUAUAAUACAGUAACUAUUAUUAGGUUUUACAGAUGAAAUAUGAUGACCAGGAUUUGCUUCAAAAUAAUCCAGGAAUGGGAGAUGAGGGUGAAAGUACAGAGGACACAAGAUUCCCUGUGAGCCAAUAAAAUUAUAAUAAUUCUAACCCUGCAUGUAUUUAAUAGUAGGCUAAAAUAUAUAAAGUCCUACAAAACUUAGUAGAUAUGGAACAAUCCACUAUGAAUAUAGAAGAUGUAAAAAUCAUCUUUUCAAGUAUUGGAUAGUUCAAACUGCCCUCCCAAAAAAAACUAUAAAGCCACAGAAGAGUUAAAUAACAACAACAAAAAUCUUUAUAUAUUGGCCAAGCAUGGCGGCUUAUGUCUGUAAUCCCAGCACUUUGGGAGGCUGAGGCAGGAGGAUCACCUGAGGUCAGGAGUUCAAAACCAGCCUGGCCAACAUGGUGAAACCUGUUUCUACUAAAACUACAAAAAACAUUAGCCAGGCGUGGUGGUGAGGACAUGUAGUCCCAGCUACUCAAGAGGCUAAGACAGGAGAAUUGCUUGAACCUGGGAGGUGGAGGUUCCAAGGAGCCAAGAUCGCGCCAUUGCACUCCAGCCUGGGCUACAAGAGUGAAACUCCGACUCAAAAAAAAAAAAAAACUUUAUAUCUUUAAAUCUUUGUAUCUUUAUAAACUUGAUCUAGGAAGGGUUUCUUAAACAAGACAUAAAAGAGACUUCCAAGUACUUGAGGAGAACUGCAGCUGUGUAAGGCUAAAUCUGUCCACACAUUCUCCAAAUAGGAUAUAAAGGUCAAUAGAAACAGAUGACCCCUGAAACUGACACAUAACAAGAUAGAGAAAACUAAAUUUAUCAUUGUCAUAAGCAGAAAACUUAACACCACUUUUCAGCAGUCUCCUGUGGUCCCACUGUGAGGAGUGAGGAAAGCCAGUAAAACAGCAUGAAAAGAGAAGAGAGGAACACAGGGCCUAACUGUGAACUAAAACUGCUCCAAGAGAGAACAAGUCCACCCUAGAGGUGGAUUACCACACCUUUCCUCUUUCCCCUCCAGCCUACUUUUCCUUUUUAAACAAUGAAGCUCUCAAACUCAUCUUUGGGGAAAGGCACUGGCCUCUUUCUGUGGCAUGUCCUCAACUGUGGCAAAAUAAACAUCUAAAUUGGUACUUGACUCUGAUACUUUUUGGUUUACAUGUAGUUGGAGAAGAAAAACAGUGAAAUUUCUUCCUCUGACGGCAGUUGAAAGGUGAUUUAAAACAUUUUUGUUAUUUCUUUCUAUAUACUUACAUAAAUAGUUUACCUUUCAUGUCCCAUCUGUGCUAUCUUUACCUAUUCCAAAGUCACAAAGAUAUUCCCCUACAUUUACUCUUAGAAGUUUAAAUAUGUUGUUUUUGAUGGUAGUAUAAAUAUGUAUUUCAUUUUUUAACUGUUUGCUGCUAGGUUACAGAAAUACAAGUGCUUUUUAAAAAUACUGACCUUAUUUUCUGAAGUUCCUAAACUGUGUGUUACUAGAAUCUAGUUGUUUAACUACAGAUUCUUCCAUGUACAUACUCACAUCUUCUGUGAAUAAAAAAUUUUUCUUUUUCUGUUUCAACGUUUAUGCCUUUUACUCCUUUUAAUACCUUAACAGGUUAGCUAGUUAUUCUAGGAUAAUGCUAAAUAAGAGUGAUAAGAAUCAACAUUAAUGCUUGUUCCUGAUCUUAGUGUGAACACACUUCACCAUUAAAUAUGAUGAUUGCAGCCAGGCUGUCACACAUAACCUUUGUUUCAUUAAGGGAAAUUCUUUCUAUUCCUCAUUUACUGAGAAUUUUUACCCUGAAUAGGUGUGAAAUGUUAUCAAGUAUUUUUCUGCAUUAAGAUAGUCAUGUAGGUUUUUCUCUUUUGCUCCCUGAAAGCAGUGAAAGGAAAAUAAAAACGUUGGAACCCAAACCACUCUGCCAAAAGAAAAAUAUUAAGCUGAAAGCUGAUUCAUCCAAGAAGCUGCCUUUCCUUUUGUUCCUAAGCGGAGAACUACAGAUAGGUUAAGUAAGGUUAAGUAUCUCCGCCGGGCGCGGUGGCUCACGCCUGUAAUCCUAGCACUUUGGGAGGCCCAGGCGGGCCUCCUCCUCGUGGUCAGGAGAUUGAGACCGUCCUGGCUAACACCGUGAAACCCCGUCUCUACUGAAAAUACAAAAAAAUACAAAAAAUAGCCGGGAGUGGUGGCGGCGCCUGUAGUCCCAGCUACUCAGGAGGCUGAGGCAGGAGAAUGGCAUGAACCCGGGUGGCAGAGCUUGCAGUGAGCCGAGGUCGCGCCACCGCGCUCCAGCCUGAGCAAGAGUGAGACUCCGUCACAAAAAAAAAAAAAAAAAAAAAAAAAAAAAAUUAGUCGGGUGUGGUGGCGAGCGCGUGUAGUCCCAGCUACUCAGGAGUCUGAGGCAGGAGAAUGGUGUGAACGCGGGAGGCAGAGCUUGCAGUGAGCGGAGACCGUGCCACUGCACUCCAGCCUGGGCAACAGAGCAAGACUCCGCAUCCAAAAAAAAAAAGUUAAAUAUCUCCACAGGUAGCUUACUCUAUGUUCACUCUAUCCUCGGUUUUUUGGGAACAAACUCUAUUUGGCUAGAAUAUAUCAUCCUUUUCAUGUAUUGCUGGAUACUACUUGUCCAUAUUUUGGUGAGAAUUCUUGACUAUUUUCCUCUGGAAUGAUUACAUGUAAGGGCACAUGAGAACUCUUGUUGAAAUGUUCUGUAUCUUGAUUGAGGUGAUAAGUGACCUGUGUAUACUUUAAAGAGUCAAAACUCAUUAUACAAUUAAAAGCAGUGCUUCUUACGGUAUGCAAGUUACACCUCAACAUUGAUUAAAAAUCCUCUCAGAGAUCAAGUAUAUAUGGGUAAAAUAACAAGACAUCUGGAUUUGUUUAAAAUACUUUGGCACAUAAACAGGGGGAAGGGAUAAAUCUAACAAAACUACCCAUGGUUUUAAAAUGAUCAAAUCUGGAUGAAGGCAACAUGGGGAUUCCUAUUACCAUCUCCCAAUUUUGCUACCCAUUUGAGAUUUUUCAUAACACUAGUUUACAGAAAAAGCAUUAAUCAUAUUGCUAAUUCUAUGCUUACCAAAAAAUUGGCUAAAAUAAUCUUAUAGGAGCUAACUUCAUUUGAAAAUACUCAAAAGUCCCCAGCAUUCAAGAAACUGCCCAAUCAAGAAAAAGCCACAUUAAAAACAGAAGGCAGCUGGCUGGGCACAGUGGCUUAUUCCUGUAAUCCCAGCACUUUGGGAGGCUGAUGCGUGUGGAUCGCUUGAUCCCAGGAGUUCGGGACCAGUUUGGGCAACAUGGCAAAGGCUCAUCUCUACAAAAAAUAUAAACAUUAGCUGGAUGUGGUGGCAUGUGCCUGUAGUCCUAGCUACUCCUGGCUUGAGCCCAAGAGGUUGAGGCUGCAAUGAGCCUUGAUCAUGCCACUCCACUCCAGCUUGGGCAACAGAGCAAGACAUAGUCUCAAGAAAACAAAACAACAACAACAACAAAAACAAAACAGGAGACAGUCAUAUUUGCAGCCCAAUACACCUUAUUCCCAAUGUUCUAUCCUGUCCAAGUGUUGUCUAAUGGAAAAAUCUCAUGGUGAACUUGCCUAUAGAUCCCUGGGGCAAAAAAUUACAGGUGCAGAAUACAACAGAGCUUCUAAAGCAGCAUCUCAGUUUCCACUUCCUUCCCUCAAACCUGAGAAAGCACAGUAGACCUUUCUUACAAGGUUCUAAGCUGUUGGAGGCUGCCUGAGGGACUGCUCUGUUUUGAGGAUCUCACACCUUAGGGAGGAAAAGCACUGGAUCAUGCUUGGCAAAGAUGCAGACAGACUGAAGAGCAGAUGCCUGGGGCAAGAUAUUAUGGGUGGAGACAUACAACAGACCAUCAAAGGCCCAGAGGAGAGACUCUUGGGACAAAUAUUUAAAAGCAGUUGCCUAUGAGAAAAUGGAAAAAGCCACAAGCAAAGGUAAGAUCCAUGCUCCAAAAAGGCCUGAGAAAAUCUUAAACCUUCUCCUCAGAUUGAUCCCAAAGCUUAGAACGAAUGCCAAGAUAAUAGCAAAAAUCCUCCCUGGAAAAGAGUCAGUCUGCAAAAACCAGAAAAGGAGGUUGUUUUUUCCACAAUGCCUAAUUUCUAACAACAACAACAACAACAACAACAACAACAACAACAACAACAAAAAC